rnacentral:sRNA from 1 species
GUCAAAGUUUUACACAGAAAUAAUGGAACUUGAAUUUUUACAUAGAUAUACCUACUAGUAUAUAGAGAAAAAACCUUUAAAAAUCUUCUUUAAAACUAUAUGGCAGGAAAAUCUGUAACUUGUGUGGAAGCAUCCUGCAGUAGUUUGGAUUCAAAUUUGUUAAAAUCAUGAUCUGUGGGUCCAAAUUAACAUAGGAAAAACAUUUACAGAGUAUUUUCAAUAAUUCGAAUGUUAUAAUACAUGUAUAUGAUCAAUUUUGUUUAGUCUGUCCCAAGUUAUUGCUUUCAUCACUUUUUUAUGAUUUUUAAUAAAAAUAAACAUACCUGUUAAAGAAAUACUGUUGAAAUUGAUAAAAGAAAAAAUAUCCAAGAAAUCUUCAUUGACACUUUAUCAUUUUUCAGUCAUAAAAGUUCACAGGAACGAAAUCAAAUUUCUUACGGAGAAUUAUAAUGGGAAAUGUUUACCGGUACAUCUUUUCUCCAUUUGAAACUAUUUGGAAUACUUCGCACAAUUUUUCAACGUUAUCAUUCGGGCUAUUUCAUGCCUUAUGCAAUGCAAAAUCCCAGGAGACUUUCUAUUUGGGUUGUGUAUUAAACCUGAAGCAGUAGAGGGGGCAUUUCAAAACAAAUAAUGUCGACAUUUUUUAUUCAAAUUGAUGAACCUAGUUUGAGCUCAAAGGUAGUUAUGAUUAUCGUAAUAUCAAGCGAAAAGUGAUGGAAGCAAAAGCUUGGGACAGAGUAUAGUUGAUAUCUAUAGAUAGUCUAAGAUAUAUACUUGAUAAAAGGUAGUCGCUUUAAGGUGAAAUAACACACCUAGAAAAAUCACUCAAAUUUACAGUAAAUUUUUCGAUUAUGAAAGAUAUGAUGAUAAAUAAACUAUCCAUGUGUCAAAUAAGGGAAAAAUUUGCAGUUUGGUGAUAAAAAUUGAUUAUUUUAAAAAAUUAAUUUAGAAAGUAACAACAAAAAGCCCUUCCGGGAUUCGAACUCAGAAUGUACAAGACCGAGACCUUAUCCACUCGGCUAUGGAGUAAGUUGUUGCCAUCAAAAAAACUCUUUCAAUGAAACGAAAUAUCGCUUCGAUCAGAGGUCAGCCAUUUUGUGACGAUGUGUUAUUCCACCUUAACCACCUUUUUAUUUCCUUGAUGUAAUGAUCUUUGAAGGCUUAUUCACCUCCUGGUUAUUAAACAAUAUGAGCCAAAUUUUUCCUCUAUGAAGCAUCUGAUAUGAUAAUUAUAAAGUAAUUGUCAUUCAAUAGUUCAGUGACAUAUGAUAUAUUUAGUUGUGGUUUGUAAACUUCUGGUAUCAAGUAGUCAUAAUUUUGUAAGAAAAGUCACAAGUUGUUAGCGGCUAAGUUUGAAGCAAAAUAACAUAAAUUGUUGUACCAAGGCCAAAGGUAUGGUGAGAUCAAAUGUCCAUGAAAUGUUAAUGAUGUUGAUAAUACAUGUAAUA